UACAGAGGGUGCAAGCGUUAUUCGGAUUUACUGGGCGUAAAGGGCGCGUAGGCGGCUUCGUAAGUUUAAUGUGAAAUCCCAGGGCUCAACCCUGGAAGUGCAUUGAAUACUGCGAGGCUAGAGUAUUGGAGGGGUGGGUGGAAUUCCUGGUGUAGAGGUGAAAUUCGUAGAUAUCAGGAGGAACAUCAGCGGCGAAGGCGGCCCACUGGACAAUAACUGACGCUGAGGCGCGAAAGCGUGGGGAGCAAACAGG
rnacentral:rRNA from 1 species